rnacentral:rRNA from 1 species
AACAGGAUUAGAUACCCUGGUAGUCCACGCCCUAAACUAUGUCAACUGGUUGUCGGAGGAGCAAUCCUUUGGUAACGAAGCUAACGCGUGAAGUUGACCGCCUGGGGAGUACGGCCGCAAGGUUAAAACUCAAAGGAAUUGACGGGGACCCGCACAAGCGGUGGAUUAUGUGGAUUAAUUCGAUGCAACGCGAAAAACCUUACCUACCCUUGACAUGUACGGAAUCUCGCAGAGAUGUGAGAGUGCUCGAAAGAGAACCGUAACACAGGUGCUGCAUGGCUGUCGUCAGCUCGUGUCGUGAGAUGUUGGGUUAAGUCCCGCAACGAGCGCAACCCUUGCCAUUAGUUGCUACAUUCAGUUGGGCACUCUAAUGGAACUGCCGGUGACAAACCGGAGGAAGGUGGGGAUGACGUCAAGUCCUCAUGGCCCUUAUGGGUAGGGCCUCACACGUAAUACAAUGGCAGGUACAGAGGGCAGCCAACCCGCGAGGGGGAGCUAAUCCCAGAAAGCCUGUCGUAGUCCGGAUUGUAGUCUGCAACUCGACUACAUGAAGCCGGAAUCGCUAGUAAUCGCGGAUCAGCAUGUCGCGGUGAAUACGUUCCCGGGUCUUGUACACACCGCCCGUCACACCAUGGGAGUGGGUUCCACCAGAAGUAGUUAGCCUAACCGCAAGGAGGGCGACUACCACGGUGAGAUUCAUGACUGGGGUGAAGUCGUAACAAGGUAACC